rnacentral:lncRNA from 1 species
GUACUUUGUAACAUAUAGCUGUACAUAGUUACUGUUAUUUGCGUUUUGAUUAAAAUGAGAACAUAAUUCUUAUGAUCUACAAUGUCCGUAUAGUGUAUCUCUUCUAGAUGGAAAGGUGUGCGGAAGGGAUUUGUACCAAUUGACCGGGUAGCAAUUGAACAGGAAGAGGCUUAGUAAGGUAAUCUAUUGCUAACUACAGCUGGAAUGCAAAAUUUUAUGCUGUAGAUUAAUAUAAGUUGUUUUGUGUUACUAGGAUAAAAUAGUAGAAGAGCACUAGAGGAUGCUUGAAGGAAUUGUAAAGCGGGAUGAGAAG